rnacentral:rRNA from 1 species
GCAUGCGGCGCAUUAGCUUGACGGCGGGGUAACGGCCCACCGUGGCGACGAUGCGUAGGGGUUCUGAGAGGAAGGCCCCCCACACUGGAACUGAGACACGGUCCAGACUCCUACGGGAGGCAGCAGUGAGGAAUAUUGGUCAAUGGGCGGAAGCCUGAACCAGCCAAGUCGCGUGAGGGAAUAAGGCCCUACGGGUCGUAAACCUCUUUUGCCGGGGAGCAAGGGCCGGGACGCGUCCCGGCCCGGAGAGUACCCGGAGAAAAAGCAUCGGCUAACUCCGUGCCAGCAGCCGCGGUAAUACGGAGGAUGCGAGCGUUAUCCGGAUUUAUUGGGUUUAAAGGGUGCGUAGGCGGGCUUUUAAGUCAGCGGUAAAAAUUCGGGGCUCAACCCCGUCCGGCCGUUGAAACUGGGGGCCUUGAGUGGGCGAGAAGAAGGCGGAAUGCGUGGUGUAGCGGUGAAAUGCAUAGAUAUCACGCAGAACCCCGAUUGCGAAGGCAGCCUUCCGGCGCCCUACUGACGCUGAGGCACGAAAGUGCGGGGAUCGAACAGGAUUAGAUACCCUGGUAGUCCGCACAGUAAACGAUG